UAGGGAAUCUUCGGCAAUGGGGGGAACCCUGACCGAGCAACGCCGCGUGAGUGAAGAAGGUUUUCGGAUCGUAAAGCUCUGUUGUUAAGGAAGAACGAGUGUGAGAAUGGAAAGUUCAUACUGUGACGGUACUUAACCAGAAAGGGACGGCUAACUACGUGCCAGCAGCCGCGGUAAUACGUAGGUCCCGAGCGUUGUCCGGAUUUAUUGGGCGUAAAGCGAGCGCAGGCGGUUAGAUAAGUCUGAAGUGAAAGGCAGUGGCUCAACCAUUGUAGGCUUUGGAAACUGUUUAACUUGAGUGCAGAAGGGGAGGGUGGAAUUCCAUGUGUAGCGGUGAAAUGCGUAGAUAGAUGGAGGAACACCGGUGGCGAAAGCGGCUCGCUGGUCUGUAACUGACGCUGGGGCUCGAAAGCGUGGGGAGCGAACAGG
rnacentral:rRNA from 1 species